rnacentral:piRNA from 1 species
UUGAUGUUAGGUUCUGUUCAGAUACUUU